rnacentral:rRNA from 1 species
GAGUUUGAUCUUGGCUCAGGAUGAACGCUGGCGGCGUGCCUAAUACAUGCAAGUCGAGCGAACGGACGAGAAGCUUGCUUCUCUGAUGUUAGCGGCGGACGGGUGAGUAACACGUGGAUAACCUACCUAUAAGACUGGGAUAACUUCGGGAAACCGGAGCUAAUACCGGAUAAUAUUUUGAACCGCAUGGUUCAAAAGUGAAAGACGGUCUUGCUGUCACUUAUAGAUGGAUCCGCGCUGCAUUAGCUAGUUGGUAAGGUGACGGCUUACCAAGGCAACGAUGCAUAGCCGACCUGAGAGGGUGAUCGGCCACACUGGAACUGAGACACGGUCCAGACUCCUACGGGAGGCAGCAGUAGGGAAUCUUCCGCAAUGGGCGAAAGCCUGACGGAGCAACGCCGCGUGAGUGAUGAAGGUCUUCGGAUCGUAAAACUCUGUUAUUAGGGAAGAACAUAUGUGUAAGUAACUGUGCACAUCUUGACGGUACCUAAUCAGAAAGCCACGGCUAACUAC